GCCUGGGUGGCUCAGUUAGUUAAGUGUCUGACUUUGGCUCAGGUCAUGAUCUCGCGGUUUGUGGGUUAAAGCCCCACAUUGGGCU
rnacentral:tRNA from 1 species